rnacentral:rRNA from 1 species
UACGUAGGGGGCAAGCGUUGUCCGGAUUUAUUGGGCGUAAAGGGCGCGUAGGCGGUGAGAUAAGCUGUUUGUGAAAGAAUUGGGCUUAACCUAAUAAAGCAAGCAGGACUGUUAAACUAGAGGGAAGGAGAGGUGAGAAGAAUUUCCGGAGUAGCGGUGAAAUGCGUAGAUACCGGAAAGAAUACCAGAAGCGAAGGCGACUCACUGGACUUACUCUGACGCUGAGGCGCGAAAGCGUGGGGAGCGAACAGG